rnacentral:rRNA from 1 species
GACAGAGGGGGCAAGCGUUGCUCGGAAUCACUGGGCGUAAAGGGCGCGUAGGCGGGAUGGCAAGUCGGUCGUGAAAUCCUUCGGCUCAACCGAAGAACGUCGGCCGAUACUGCCGUUCUUGAGGGAUGCAGAGGAGAUUGGAAUUCCCGGUGUAGCGGUGAAAUGUGUAGAGAUCGGGAGGAACACCGAUGGCGAAGGCAGGUCUCUGGGCCACUACUGACGCUGAGAAGCGAAAGCAUGGGGAGCGAACGA